CGCGGGCUCUGAGCGCGCCGCCACCCUCCCGCACCGCCCUCGCACACGCAGAUACCACUUUUAAAGAAGCCGAAGCGCUGCAGCCCACCGACGCCGAGUGAGCGCUGCCAGCUGUAGCCCUUGCUCUCCCUGUCUGCAGUUGAGCCCGGACCCUGGAAUAGAAAGACAGUUCUUGGUUGCACUGGAAGAAAGGGAAGGAAGACUCCUCUGUUCCCGAGGAAAGCAGAGCGGCUGCCCUAGUGAAGAAAUGAAGAGUCAAAGAAGUAAAGGAGGACCUAUCUCAAAAUCACGUAACUAGGGAAUCUUGAGGAGUUGUGCACUUUCCAUCCCCCAGACACCGCUCCCCUUCGGGGGAGGCUCUUACUUGCUUGAUAUAAAAGGCAAGCAGUUCUUGGCCUGUGAAACCCCAGUGGCAGUGCCUGGCUGUCAGUAUGCUGGCCCCAAUGUUGAUGGACGUGAUGGGCUUUGGCUCCAGGUUUCUCUCCUGAGACCACAGCAGAGAGUGCCUUGGAUGAAGGCUUGGACUUCUGGAUCGUCUGGUGACUUCAACUGUCUGAGCAUGGUUUCUUCAUUCAACAGUAUGGUGGUUUAAAUUAAAAGAGAUGGCCUCAUAGACUCUUACACUUGGACAUUCAUCUGCAGUUUAUGGAAUCGUUGGGAAGAAUUAGGAGGUAUCUUGUUGGAGGAGGUGUGUCAUUGGGAGUGGGCUUCGAG
ensembl:lncRNA